CAUUUCACAAAAAUAUAAGAGGUAGAGAGAGAAAGUGAAUCCAGAGGAUAUAAGAGGAGUUAGAGAAAGAGAGCUUGGGGUUUGAAGAGCUAAGAGUUAAAUGGAAGCCAAAGUUAGGAUUCUUCAAGACUAGAGGUUUUAGCUUUAUAAAAUGGGUAUUGUUUCUUCAAAACCGGAUUUGCAUAUGUUUUGGAGAUAGAAGAGGGUAUUGCUGAAAGGUCACCUCUUAUAUGAACACACAAUUGUCUUUAUAAUAUGAUAAUAAUCGCUCAUUUUCUCUUCUUUUGCAAUUUGAUGAGUUUUUAUAUUAGUCACACAUUUUUUAUCUUACAAGUCAUUCCACUAAAAUUAUAUCUAUAAUCUCUCAAUCUCAUCACUUACUCUUGAACUAGGUGAAAAAUAUUGUUUGUAUGCUUUCUUCUUUUGGUACAUGUAACUUAUUUAAUUU